UGGGUUUCUUCCCUGGAUGGCCAGGAUGGCA
rnacentral:piRNA from 1 species